GCUGAGUGGCCAGUUGCGGUGCUUGUGCUGUUGUUCUGCAGCCGGCGGCUGGGCUGCGCGGUGAUGGCAGGUGUCGGGCGUCGCAUGGUGCUGGCAAGUUCGCCGCGGUGUAGUGACUGCGCCCAGACGCACAUGGCGUUCGCGUGUGGUGCGCGAGCGGCUGAUCUUCUGUGCGCAUUUUCUCUCAAAAAUUGAACUACAUGGUGCAAUCUCCAAAUGUAAAAGUUUGAGACCAAACUAUAGACUCCAACUUCUAUA
rnacentral:lncRNA from 1 species